rnacentral:rRNA from 1 species
CCUACGGGUGGCAGCAGUGAGGAAUAUUGGUCAAUGGGCGAAAGUCUGACCCAGCAACGCCGCGUGAAGGAUGAAGGCCUUCGGGUCGUAAACUUCUUUUAGGGGAGACGAGAAAGGACGGUAUCCCCUGAAUAAGCCACGGCUAACUACGUGCCAGCAGCCGCGGUAAAACGUAGGUGGCGAGCGUUAUCCGGAUUCAUUGGGCGUAAAGAGCUUGUAGGUGGUGCGAUAAGUUGGACGUGAAAACUCCGGGCUUAACUUGGAGAGGCCGUUCAAUACUGUUGUGCUAGAGGGCGUCAGAGGGAAGUGGAAUUCCUGGUGUAGCAGUGAAAUGCGUAGAUAUCAGGAGGAACACCCGUGGCGAAGGCGGCUUCCUGGGACGUACCUGACACUGAGAAGCGAAAGCUAGGGGAGCAAACGGGAUUAGAUACCCGGGUAGU